UACGUAGGGUGCAAGCGUUGUCCGGAAUUAUUGGGCGUAAAGAGCUCGUAGGCGGUCUGUCACGUCGGCUGUGAAAACCCGGGGCUCAACCCCGGGCCUGCAGUCGAUACGGGCAGAUUAGAGUGCGGUAGGGGAGACUGGAAUUCCUGGUGUAGCGGUGAAAUGCGCAGAUAUCAGGAGGAACACCGGUGGCGAAGGCGGGUCUCUGGGCCGUAACUGACGCUGAGGAGCGAAAGCGUGGGGAGCGAACAGG
rnacentral:rRNA from 1 species